GGGUGAGUAAUGUCUGGGAAACUGCCUGAUGGAGGGGGAUAACUACUGGAAACGGUAGCUAAUACCGCAUAAUGUCGCAAGACCAAAGAGGGGACCUUCGGGCCUCUUGCCAUCAGAUGUGCCCAGAUGGGAUUAGCUUGUUGGUGGGGUAACGGCUCACCAAGGCGACGAUCCCUAGCUGGUCUGAGAGGAUGACCAGCCACACUGGAACUGAGACACGGUCCAG
rnacentral:rRNA from 1 species